rnacentral:rRNA from 1 species
UACGUAGGGUGCAAGCGUUGUCCGGAAUUAUUGGGCGUAAAGAGCUCGUAGGCGGUCUGUUGCGUCGGCUGUGAAAACCCGGAGCUCAACUCCGGGCCUGCAGUCGAUACGGGCAGACUGGAGUUCGGCAGGGGAGACUGGAAUUCCUGGUGUAGCGGUGAAAUGCGCAGAUAUCAGGAGGAACACCGGUGGCGAAGGCGGGUCGCUGGGCCGAUACUGACGCUGAGGAGCGAAAGCGUGGGGAGCGAACAGG